GGACCUGAGAAGGUAGCCACUGGAUCUCUAUCAUUCACACACAUUCUGACCCAGCGUUCCCUCGGUGUCAACAUGAACAAAGGGUGUCUAAGGACCAUAGCAAGUGGUUUCAUCCAGGUUCAACAGCACUGAAUGGGCUUCAUAGGGUCCUGAUAAACAAGAGAGUCCUUUCAGAUGUAGAGAAGCUGAGCCCACAUUACCAGACAUCAACUGUGGAGUCCUUUCACAAAGUCAUCUUGCACUUUGCACCUAAAAAUGUUGUCUUCCCCUUCAUUGGAAUGCUAUGCAGCGAUGCACUUCAAUGAGAACGCUGUCCGGCCACAAUUGACAACAUCUAAAGGCAAACUUGUGUACAAGCUUCUCUUUCCAAAGGCCAAAAAGAUGUGUCACGUUUCAGUCAAGGGGGGGUCUGAAUCCAACAUAUUGCCCAGCAGCAUCAGGAAACUCCCUUCUGAUGCGCAGCACCACACAUGAAGGGAUGACGACACGUACACUUCGACCAAGGAAACCCAGCACCAGCUGACAAACCACCUGUAGGACACGUGUCUGCACUGCCUGCAGAGAGAGAAAAACAUUGUGUGUGUUUUGGUAUUUAUUUUGUUCACAGGUCAUUAUGGGUCAUGUAUGUAUGCUGCUGAGACACAAUAAAAGUGUCACAUCAAUAAGUAUCUGUCAUUAUUGCAUGUUUCUUCUUUUCUAACAUACAUCAUAUGGUAUGGCUGUGCAAUGCAUUAAACUCAUGAUGUAAUAUGGCUGUAACAGAGCCCAAUUAUAUUUACACAAUGUAACAAGUGUGUGAAACUGGCCUUACCUUUCCAUCUCUCUGACCCUAACACAUCCAUGGUCAGCUCUAUAUACAUUCACUGCAUUUUGCAAAGAAUAUAUAUUGAGGCACACAGGUUCAAGGCCAGGAUGGUCUGUCAUGCAUGAUAUUGUAUCAGGCACUGGUCUCAUUCUUCUUGGUGACCUGCAAAAGAAAAAAAAUCAUAAUGGCACUGUUAUUUACAG